UCAAAGGAAUUGACGGGGCCCGCACAAGCGGAGGAACAUGUGGUUAAUUCGAUGAUACGACGAGGAACCUUGCCUGGGCUUAAAUGGGGAGUGACAGCUGUCGAAAGAUGGUUUUCUUCGGACACUCUUCAAGGUGCUGCAUGGUUGUCGUCAGCUCGUGCCGUGAGGUGUCGGGUUAAGUCCCAUAACGAGCGCAACCCUUACCGUUAGUUACCAUCAGGUUAAGCUGGGGACUCUAGCGGGACUGCCACCGUAAGGUGAGAGGAAGGUGGGGAUGACGUCAAAUCAGCACGGCCCUUAUGUCCGGGGCUACACACGUGUUACAAUGGCCAGUACAAAGGGCAGCUACCGGGUGACCGGAUGCUAAUCUCUAAAGCUGGUCUCAGUUCGGAUCGAAGUCUGCAACCCGACUUCGUGAAGCUGGAUUCGCUAGUAAUCGCGCAUCAGCCAUGGCGCGGUGAAUACGUUCCCGGGCCUU
rnacentral:rRNA from 1 species